GCUCCAAGUGGGCCAUUUUUGGUAA
rnacentral:siRNA from 1 species